rnacentral:rRNA from 1 species
AACAGGAUUAGAUACCCUGGUAGUCCAUGCCGUAAACGUUGGGCACUAGGUGUGGGGGACAUUCCACGUUUUCCGCGCCGUAGCUAACGCAUUAAGUGCCCCGCCUGGGGAGUACGGCCGCAAGGCUAAAACUCAAAGGAAUUGACGGGGGCCCGCACAAGCGGCGGAGCAUGCGGAUUAAUUCGAUGCAACGCGAAGAACCUUACCAAGGCUUGACAUGAACCGGUAAUACCUGGAGACAGGUGCCCCGCUUGCGGUCGGUUUACAGGUGGUGCAUGGUUGUCGUCAGCUCGUGUCGUGAGAUGUUGGGUUAAGUCCCGCAACGAGCGCAACCCUCGUUCUAUGUUGCCAGCACGUGAUGGUGGGGACUCAUAGGAGACUGCCGGGGUCAACUCGGAGGAAGGUGGGGACGACGUCAAAUCAUCAUGCCCCUUAUGUCUUGGGCUUCACGCAUGCUACAAUGGCCGGUACAAAGGGUUGCGAUACUGUGAGGUGGAGCUAAUCCCAAAAAGCCGGUCUCAGUUCGGAUUGGGGUCUGCAACUCGACCCCAUGAAGUCGGAGUCGCUAGUAAUCGCAGAUCAGCAACGCUGCGGUGAAUACGUUCCCGGGCCUUGUACACACCGCCCGUCAAGUCACGAAAGUUGGUAACACCCGAAGCCGGUGGCCUAACCCCUUGUGGGAGGGAGCUGUCGAAGGUGGGACUGGCGAUUGGGACUAAGUCGUAACAAGGUAGCCGUACCGGAAGGUGCGGCUGGAUCACCUCCUU